rnacentral:tRNA from 1 species
AGUUAGGUAGCUUAAUGGAUAAAGGACUAGGCCUAGAGUCAAGAAAACCUGAGUUCAAAUCUUAGCUUAGAUA